CUACGGGGCGCUGCAGGUAAGAAUAAUCUACAAUGCGCGAAAGCGUGAUAGUUUGAGUCAGAGUGCUUUGCUAUUUGCAAAGCUUUUGUGAAAUGUAAAAAGUUUCACGAAUAAGGACUGGGUAAGACGAGUGCCAGCCGCCGCGGUAAUACUCGCGGUCCAAGUCGCAGCCAUUUUUAUUGGGUCUAAAACAUCCGUAGCUUGCUUAAUAAGUUUCUUGUGAAAUUCCAUGUCUCAAGUAUGGAGCGUGCAAGAAAUACUGUUGAGCUAGAGACUGGAAGACGUAAGGAGUACGUUCGAAGUAGCGGUUAAAUGUGUUAAUCUCGAGCGGACUUACAAUAGCGAAGGCACCUUACGAGGACAGUUCUGACAGUAAGGGAUGAAGGCUAGGGGCGCAAAACGGAUUAGAUACCCUGGUAGUC
rnacentral:rRNA from 1 species